rnacentral:rRNA from 1 species
CAGCAGCCGCGGGAAUACGAAGGGGGCUAGCGUUGUUCGGAUUUACUGGGCGUAAAGCGCACGUAGGCGGACUUUUAAGUCAGGGGUGAAAUCCCGGGGCUCAACCCCGGAACUGCCUUUGAUACUGGAAGUCUUGAGUAUGGUAGAGGUGAGUGGAAUUCCGAGUGUAGAGGUGAAAUUCGUAGAUAUUCGGAGGAACGCCAGUGGCGAAGGCGGCUCACUGGACCAUUACUGACGCUGAGGUGCGAAAGCGUGGGGAGCAAACAGGAUUAGAUACCCGGGUAGUCCCUGUCUCUUAUAC